CAAUAGCGUAUAUUAAAGUUGUUGCAGUUAAAGAGCUCGUAGUUGGAUUUGUGGUGUGUCCAGUCGGCCUUUGCUCUCUGAGUGAUUGUGCUGUACUGGUCUGCCAUGUUUGGGUGGAAUCUGUGUGGCAUUAAGUUGUCGUGCAGGGGAUGCCCAUCGUUUACUGUGAAAAAAUUAGAGUGUUCAAAGCAGGCUUAUGCCGUUGAAUAUAUUAGCAUGGAAUAAUGAUAUAGGACCUUGGUACUAUUUUGUUGGUUUGCGCACUAAGGUAAUGAUUAAGAGGGACAGUUGGGGGUAUUUGUAUUCCAUUGUCAGAGGUGAAAUUCUUAGAUUUUUGGAAGACAAACUACUGCGAAAGCAUUUACCAAGGAUGUUUUCAUUA
rnacentral:rRNA from 1 species